GGCAGCUUUCAGUUGUAAGCCCUGAAUCAGAGGGUUACACAGGCGGUACAAUAAAAAGUGCCUCUGGAAGGGGGAAAACUCUACUUUAUAUAAUUCCUUUACAGGAAGAAUUUGAUCUUGCCCCUCUUCCGUCUGAUGCAAAAGAAUUUGCAUGUAUGCCCAAAGCAGAAUGCAGAAAUUGCUUCAAGGAAAUGCCUCUGCAGCUUCUUGCACUCCACAUUAAAGAAUGCAUCGAAUCAUACACUGUGACAGAUUCUGAUCCUGAGAUAACUGAGGUACUCUCUGAGGAAAAACCAACAGAAGGAAUGUGCCCUAUUUGUCAAGUGGUUUUG